AGAGUUUGAUCCUGGCUCAGGAUGAACGCUGGCGGCGUGCCUAACACAUGCAAGUCGAGCGAGAAUCUCCCGAUUGAAACUUCGGUCGAAAGAAGGAGAGGAGAGCGGCGGACGGGUGAGUAACGCGUAGGCAACCUGCCUCACACAGAGGGAUACCUCCGGGAAACUGGGAUUAAUACCUCAUAACGCGAAAGUUUCACAUGUUACUUUCGCCAAAGAUUUAUCGGUGUGAGAUGGGCCUGCGUCUGAUUGGCUGGUUGGUGAGGUAACGGCUCACCAAGGCGACGAUCAGUAGCCGACCUGAGAGGGUGAUCGGCCACAUUGGAACUGAGACACGGUCCAAACUCCUACGGGAGGCAGCAGUGGGGAAUAUUGCACAAUGGGGGAAACCCUGAUGCAGCAACGCCGCGUGAGCGAUGAAGGUCUUCGGAUUGUAAAGCUCUGUCCUUGGGGAAGAAAAAAUGACGGUACCCUUGGAGGAAGCCCCGGCUAACUACGUGCCAGCAGCCGCGGUAAUACGUAGGGGGCAAGCGUUAUCCGGAAUUACUGGGCGUAAAGAGUGCGUAGGCGGUUUUGUAAGCGUGGGGUGAAAGGCAGUGGCUCAACCAUUGUUAGCCCCAUGAACUGCAUAACUUGAGUGCGGGAGAGGAAAGUGGAAUUCCUAGUGUAGCGGUGGAAUGCGUAGAUAUUAGGAGGAACACCAGUGGCGAAGGCGACUUUCUGGACCGUAACUGGCGCUGAGGCACGAAAGCGUGGGGAGCAAACAGGAUUAGAUACCCUGGUAGUCCACGCCGUAAACGAUGAGCACUAGGUGUCGGGGCCGCAAGGUUUCGGUGCCGCAGUUAACGCAUUAAGUGCUCCGCCUGGGGAGUACGCACGCAAGUGUAAAACUCAAAGGAAUUGACGGGGACCCGCACAAGCAGCGGAGCAUGUGGUUUAAUUCGAAGCAACGCGAAGAACCUUACCAGGACUUGACAUCCCUCUGACCGGCGUGUAACGGCGCCUUUCCUUCGGGACAGAGGUGACAGGUGGUGCAUGGUUGUCGUCAGCUCGUGUCGUGAGAUGUUGGGUUAAGUCCCGCAACGAGCGCAACCCUUGCCAUUAGUUGCCAGCAUUCAGUUGGGCACUCUAGUGGGACUGCCGGGGAUAACUCGGAGGAAGGUGGGGAUGACGUCAAAUCAUCAUGCCCCUUAUGUUCUGGGCUACACACGUGCUACAAUGGCUGGUACAGAGAGAAGCAAUACUGCGAAGAGGAGCAAAACUCUAAAACCAGUCCCAGUUCGGAUUGUAGGCUGCAACCCGCCUACAUGAAGUCGGAGUUGCUAGUAAUCGCGGAUCAGAAUGCCGCGGUGAAUGCGUUCCCGGGUCUUGUACACAAAGCCCGUCA
rnacentral:rRNA from 1 species